AUUGAACGCUGGCGGCGUGCCUAACACAUGCAAGUCGAGCGGCAGCGCGGGAGCAAUCCUGGCGGCGAGCGGCGGACGGGUGAGUAAUGCUUGGGAAUCUGCCUGUUAGUGGGGGACAACCCGGGGAAACUCGGGCUAAUACCGCAUACGCACUACGGUGGAAAGCCGGGGACCGCAAGGCCUGGCGCUAACAGAUGAGCCCAAGUCGGAUUAGCUAGUUGGUAGGUAACGGCCACCAAGGCGACGAUCCGUAACUGGUCUGAGGGGACGACCAGUCACACCGGAACUGAGACGCGGUCCGGACUCCUACGGGAGGCAGCAGUGGGAAUAUUGGACAAUGGGGAAACCCUGAUCCAGCGACGCCGCGUGGGUGAAGAAGCCU
rnacentral:rRNA from 1 species